CACCCCUUCCCAGAUCUCAUUUAAGGGGUAGCAAUGGAAGUAGGGGUACUUUUUGUUGGAGAUUUCUGUCUAUCUGAGGUCUUUCAAAGAGUCUAACGUGUGGUCAGCUGCAGUCCUGACAGCUGGCUGUGGUGGGGAGGUACUGCUCAGUUUGGCUGGGGGUCAGCCUGGCUUCACUCCUGGAUGUGGCAUGGCACAGGAACCUGCCUUGUGCAAGGGAGACCCCCAGGCCAUAUGCCCGUCUGGGACAUGGUUUCUUAGGUGCAUCUUGUCCUAUGUGGCAGAAAUCUGGCAGCCAUUUCCCUUAAGGACUGCAAGACACGUGCUGUGAGUUACAGAUGCCUAUUCACUGGCUUCCUGAGAAGAGCAUCACUGCUGCUGAGUUUUAUAUUCAUCACAAAGCUCAUUGGAAAAGGUAUCUUCACUUCCUUUCAAAUCCGUUUUGCAAAGCAUCUGCUGUGUUUCAUGCGGAUGAUUUCUGUGGAAAGGAGCGAUUCCUAUGCAGGAUUUAGACACGCCAGCAGCAGAGCGAGCACUGAGGGGUAGGCUUAAUCCUCAGCUGUGCUCCAGCUGAUAUCAAAGAGCUUUUAUAUUUAAUAAGUCUUAAACACUUACAAUCACAGAAGACAGAGACAGACAGGAAAAUACAGUUGAACUAAACUGUCUCUAGGGCAAGAUAGAACAGAAAAAAACAGAGCACAGAAUUUCUUAAAUGAGUGCAAAUCCAUACUCAACAAUAAUGAAAAAUUAAGCACACAUCACCCUGCUGUUCAAGAAGGAUAUCUUAUCUAAAUAUAAUGUCAGGCGAAAAGCACUGAAAAUCUGACUUUGGAUAUGUGUGUGUCACAAAGCAGGUAUACAGAGUAGACUUUUCCCCAGACCAUUUUUUUCUUCAGUUUCAUCAAGGAGAGAGAACUCCAGGCAUAUCAGCCUCCUCUCCAGAGAGCCUGCACCCACCUGGCCUUCCACAUCAAGUAGAAAAUACUUCAGCUACAGUGAUCAAAAACAUUCCCUUUCCUGCCCUACUGGGGGAAUGCUGCUCCCGAAGCUUGCUGGGAUCUGCUGCUGUCCCUGCAGCACAAGGGCUGAUGUAAUUUUAGAUUCUAGCUGCUCUGAAUCAGAAACAGUCAGGAGGACAAUGUUUUGGAGGCUUUAACCAAACCAGAGCAAAAAUCGCAGCUGGAAAACAUUCUUUUUUAUGUGCACUGCACACUUUCUUGCUCACUUUCUUACACGGAGAUCUACUGAGCCCGGAUAAGAUGGUUUCAUCCUGCCAGGUAGCUGGCAAAACAGUUAUUUGAGAGUUCCCAUAACUCCUCCCAGUCCUUCAGUAUAUAAAUACCAAGUGGUUUGUGUCACACUGAUAGAUCUUUCCUGCCCGUUUGCUUUCUUAUCCAUAGAGCUAUUACAACAAAUGCCUGUCCCCCUCAUCUCUCAGUUCCACUUCUCUUCCACUAAGAAGGAGCUUUUAGGAGCAUUGCCCUCAAUUACAAGUCUGUAAUAGAUUCAUCUUUCUCUUAUUUCCCUUCAAGCAGUGCUGCUUUCUGCAGAGUUAGCACAAGGUCACCCUUGUGUCCUGGCUUCCCCCUUUAUCAGCUCCCACCAUUACUGCCAUUUGCUGCAGAUCCUAUACGACCAGUUGCCAAUGCAUUCCUGCUUUCCUAUAAAGGCAGCACCUCUGUCAACUGCCUGAGAGAAUGAGAGCUAGCAUUUAACUCGUGUGUGCAUUUCAGCUGACUGGUUUUGACAGCGUAGUCUUGGAAAGAGAAAGGAACAGAAAGGCAUGUUUUGACUUCUAUGCACACAUCUAUAACGCAACACUGCAAGUCGCAGGGAACAUGUGGAGGGCUCUGAGUGAGAAGGUUGUGGAGCAGGACUCUGGAAAAUGUAAGCCCCAGAGAGGAGAUCCAGGGCUAAGGGGCAAGAUUGAUAUGGAGGAUGGGAAGUUUACAGGCUACUUCCUGGCCCCUUUCUCCCUUAAUGCUGCACUCAAUGAGUUUGGCCCUUGCAGCCAGCAUCAUCAUCCACCACUGAGUUUUUCUUACAGGCGUAGUAAAUGGCAAAGACAAAACAGCUCGACUUUACCUUUGAGAUAAAAGUAAUAGAAAUAGUUUGAAGAGUGUGACAGCUAUGAGAAGUCUGUGACAGUAAUUUGAGGAAUCUGUGCCCUGAAAGAUGCAGUGAGGUCUCUGGCAGCUGAAAGCCUGACUGGGUUGAGAUGAUGCAGACAUAAGGCUGGGGCUUGUAAUCCCGAGCAGCCGGGCUACUUUAGUGUGCUCAUUCCCAUGAAUACUUGUGAAAUCUUUAGGAGAUCUCUGGAUUCUUUUGCUGAUAGAGCCUCCUGGAUGGCCUACUUUUUCUUUCUACUAGUGGAAAGGAAAAAUGCCCUAAAUUUCAUGAUCAGGUUUCGGACACUCUUUUUGACUUUCAACAUUAUGGUUCCCAGAGGCUGUGCUCAGUGAGAUGUUUGUUCCAUAAUUUUCAUGAUAAUGACUUAAUUCUUUCCAGAUGUCAUGACUGCUUUACCCUGUUCUCAUUCCCUAAGAAUUUCACAUGCAAGAGGUGACAGUAAUGAUUUUUGGAAUCGGCCUUGACUGUUGGACAUCCCAUGCCUUAUAAAACACCCUUUAAGAGUUUUUGUAAUUAUUUCUAGUGUGCAGCCUUGAAGGAACAGGGCUGUUUGCCUCCUUCCCUUUUGUAGAGAGAGAAGGAGAAAUCUAGAGCCAGGAGCUUCAGGCCCAUUUCAGAGAGAGGGUGAGGGGCUGAUCUGACAGCUGGCAGCUCAGUGGGAAUAAAAUAGAUAAAAGGUCUUAGAAAACCAAGAUGUCUACUCAAAACAGCUAAGAACAAAGUAAAAUGCAUCGGGCAAACUUCCCUCCCAACUCUUGUUGACUCUGUUGCAUAGCUUUGUCGUAUGCGUACCAGGACAAUUUACAAUUUAUCUUGGCCUGACCCAGAGAAAUUGAGCAGUCAUUUUCCAGAUGCAGAUAAGCCUUUAAGAGCACUGAUUUUUUUUUUUUUUUUUUUAUUAUUUAUUUUAAAUUUUCUUUCCUACUGACCUGUGAUGUAGUUGAGCAUUUUUAGAGGGAGAUAAAGACACUGCUAUAUAUGUCUGAUUUCAGCAUGAUCAGGAAGGAAAGAUUUUUCUUUGGAAAACUUAUGUGAACAAGCCACAGUUUAAAAACAAACAAACAAACAAACAAAAA